rnacentral:rRNA from 1 species
UACGUAGGGGGCAAGCGUUAUCCGGAUUUACUGGGUGUAAAGGGAGCGUAGACGGCGCGGCAAGUCUGAAGUGAAAGCCCGGGGCUUAACCCCGGGACUGCUUUGGAAACUGCCAUGCUGGAGUGCUGGAGAGGUAAGUGGAAUUCCUAGUGUAGCGGUGAAAUGCGUAGAUAUUAGGAGGAACACCAGUGGCGAAGGCGGCUUACUGGACAGUAACUGACGUUGAGGCUCGAAAGCGUGGGGAGCAAACAGG